rnacentral:rRNA from 1 species
AGCGAACGCUGGCGGCAGGCCUAACACAUGCAAGUCGAACGAAGUCUUCGGACUUAGUGGCGGACGGGUGAGUAACACGUGGGAACGUGCCUUUAGGUUCGGAAUAACUCAGGGAAACUUGUGCUAAUACCGAAUGUGCCCUUCGGGGGAAAGAUUUAUCGCCUUUAGAGCGGCCCGCGUCUGAUUAGCUAGUUGGUGAGGUAAAGGCUCACCAAGGCGACGAUCAGUAGCUGGUCUGAGAGGAUGAUCAGCCACAUUGGGACUGAGACACGGCCCAAACUCCUACGGGGGGCAGCAGUGGGGAAUCUUGCGCAAUGGGCGAAAGCCUGACGCAGCCAUGCCGCGUGAAUGAUGGAGGUCUUAGGAUUGUAAAAUUCUUUCACCGGGGACGAUAAUGACGGUACCCGGAGAAGAAGCCCCGGCUAACUUCGUGCCAGCAGCCGCCGCAG